GUGUCAGCAGCCGCGGUAAUACGUGAGGGGCGAACGUUGUUCGGUGUCACUGGGCUUAAAGGGUGCGUAGGUGGUUGCGUAAGUAAGGUGUGAAAUCCCUCGGCUUACCCGGGGAAUUGCAUUUUAUACUGCGUGGCUUGAGGACUAAAGGGGAAAAGGGAACUCCAGGUGUAGCGGUGAAAUGCGCAGAUAUCUGGGGGAAGGCCGGCGGCGAAGGCGCUUUUCUGGUUAGUACCUGACACUGAGGCACGAAAGCGUGGGGAGCAAACAGGAUUAGAUACCCUGGUAGUCC
rnacentral:rRNA from 1 species